rnacentral:rRNA from 1 species
UGUGGGUUAUCUACCUUUCAGUGAGGGAUACCGGCGAGAAAUCGCCGACAAUACCGCAUGCGGUUGCUUCUCCAGAGGGGAGUAAAGAAAGUCGGAAGACGCUGGAAGAUGAGCCUGCACCUGAUUAGUUAGUUGGUGGGGUAAAAGCCUACCAAGACUGCGAUCAGUCGCUGGUCUGAGAGGACGAUCAGCCACACUGGGAUUGAGAACGGCCCAG